CCUACGGGAGGCUGCAGUGGGGAAUAUUGCACCAUGGGGGAAACCCUGAUGCAGCGACGCCGCGUGAGUGAAGAAGUAUUUCGGUAUGUAAAGCUCUAUCAGCAGGGAAGCAAAUGCCGGUACCUGAUUACGAAUCCCCGGCUAACUACGUGCCAGCAGCCGCGGUAAUACGUAGGGGGCAAGCGUUAUCCGGAUUUACUGGGUGUAAAGGGAGCGUAGACGGCAGCACAAGUCUGGAGUGAAAUGCCGGGGCUUAACCCCGGAACUGCUGUGGAAACUGUGAAGCUAGAGUGGAGGAGAGGUAAGUGGAAUUCCCAGUGUAGCGGUGAAAUGCGUAGAUAUUAGGAGGAACACCAGUGGCGAAGGCGGCUUACUGGACCGAAACUGACGUUGAGGCUCGAAAGCGUGGGUAGCAAACAGGAUUAGAUACCCUUGUAGUC
rnacentral:rRNA from 1 species